rnacentral:rRNA from 1 species
GUGGGGAAUAUUGGGCAAUGGGCGAAAGCCUGACCCAGCAACGCCGCGUGAGGGAAGAAGGUUUUCGGAUUGUAAACCUCUGUCCUUGGGGACGAAGAAAGUGACGGUACCCAGGGAGGAAGCCCCGGCUAACUACGUGCCAGCAGCCGCGGUAAUACGUAGGGGGCGAGCGUUGUUCGGAAUGACUGGGCGUAAAGGGCGCGUAGGCGGCCGAUUAAGUCUGGAGUGAAAGUCCUGUUUUUAAGGCGGGAAUUGCUUUGGAGACUGGUUGGCUUGAGUGCGGAAGAGGUAAGUGGAAUUCCCAGUGUAGCGGUGAAAUGCGUAGAGAUUGGGAGGAACACCAGUGGCGAAGGCGACUUACUGGGCCGUAACUGACGCUGAAGCGCAAAAGCGUGGGGAGCGAACAGGAUUAGAAACCCUUGUAGUCC